UCUAGAAUUACAACACAACCAUCUUGGUCCCGCAGGCCGAGGAGCACUAGUGGAUUGGAAAUGUCAUGGCGUAACAUUACAGUGACAUUAGAAGGUGAUACCGCUUGCAUGCAGCAAGGCAACAUUUGGCAAAGAGACUUAACCCAGGGACAGGGUCCCUCUGUGGACAGCAGUACUUUGAUGGGGGGUGACUAGGGAAAACCUAAAAUCAGGCUUCAAAUCUGUCAUUUUCACUCAGUGAUAUGAAAUCAAAUGAAACACCCCAGAGGCAAUCAACAACCCAAUUUCAGUUCCACAAUUUUUAAAAUAAAAUCUUUGUUACUUUAUUUUAUGUUGCAUUUCAUUGAAAUACAUGUAAGAUGUGAAAUAUAAAACAUUUGCAAAAUAAUAUUAAAAAAAAUAUAUUUAAUACA